rnacentral:lncRNA from 1 species
UUCCGAGCUUCAGAUGCUAACAUAGCAUCUUGCUUCAAGAAAACUGCAAGCUCCUCAUCUUCAGAAGCCUCAGCAAAAGCUGCAACAAUAUUUUUUGUACUGUGGAGGUAUUCAGCCCUUGAAUAUUUAGUCCAGAAUUCUUUUUCUGACAUCUGAGAUAGAGAGCAGAAUCAAGAGAUGCAGCAUGAUUUAUUCUUAAAUAACAUCAUUAACGUAAUAGGUGUCUUUGGGAGUUUGUUACCACUUAGUAAAGCAGUUAAGAUGGAAACUUGAAGAUGAACUACACUAAGGGUUGUUUGGUGUGAGGUAUAAGGGAUAAAUAGUCCUGGGAUAAAAUGAAGGAUGAUUUUAUCCCAUGUUUGGUGUGAGGUAUUAGUUAGUCCCGGGAUUAUUUAUCCCACCAUUUACACCAUAGUGAGGGGAUAAGUUAUCCCAUAUACAUGGUGAGAUAACUAAUCCCGGGAUAACAUUUUCCCAACCAAACGAACCCUUAGGAAGCAAAAGGCCUGUUCCAUCCUAUAUUCAAUUGUAAUUGAAAAAGGUUACCUUCAUCUGCUUCCAUGUCCAGAGUUGGAUCCACUCUUCUGAUCUGAAAAGAAUAUAAAAUGUAAAGACUUCGGGAAGUUCUUCUCCAUCCAUCCUCUCUCAAAGACACUCGGUGGAAGUUCUUUUAGGAUUGGAUGUCGUUAGAAAACAAUGAAAACAGUAAUUAUCUGGUGAACACCUUCUUCCGAGCUUCAGAUGCUAACAUAGCAUCUUGCUUCAAGAAAACUGCAAGCUCCUCAUCUUCAGAAGCCUCAGCAAAAGCUGCAACAAUAUUUUUUGUACUGUGGAGGUAUUCAGCCCUUGAAUAUUUAGUCCAGAAUUCUUUUUCUGACAUCUGAGAUAGAGAGCAGAAUCAAGAGAUGCAGCAUGAUUUAUUCUUAAAUAACAUCAUUAACGUAAUAGGUGUCUUUGGGAGUUUGUUACCACUUAGUAAAGCAGUUAAGAUGGAAACUUGAAGAUGAACUACACUAAGGGUUGUUUGGUGUGAGGUAUAAGGGAUAAAUAGUCCUGGGAUAAAAUGAAG